UCGGGAUAGCUCAGCUGGUAGAGCAGAGGACUGAAACA
rnacentral:tRNA from 1 species